UGGGGAAUUUUGGACAAUGGGCGAAAGCCUGAUCCAGCAAUGCCGCGUGUGUGAAGAAGGCCUUCGGGUUGUAAAGCACUUUUGUCCGGAAAGAAAUCCUUGGCUCUAAUACAGUCGGGGGAUGACGGUACCGGAAGAAUAAGCACCGGCUAACUACGUGCCAGCAGCCGCGGUAAUACGUAGGGUGCAAGCGUUAAUCGGAAUUACUGGGCGUAAAGCGUGCGCAGGCGGUUUGCUAAGACCGAUGUGAAAUCCCGGCGUCAACCUGGGAACUGGCAUUGGUGAUGCUGGCAGGCUAGAGUAUGGCAGAGGGGGGUAAAUUCCACGUGUAGCAGUGAAAAUGCGUAGAGAUGUGGAGGAAUACCGAUGGCGAAGGCAGCCCCCUGGGCAAUACUGACGCUCAUGCACGAAAAGCGUGGGGAGCAAAACAGGAUUAGAUACCCUGGUAGUCCACGCCCUAAAACGAUGUCAACUAGUUGUUGGGGAUUCAUUUCCUUAGUAACGUAGCUAACGCGUGAAGUUGACCGCCUGGGGAGUACGGUCGCAAGAUUAAAACUCAAAGGAAUUGACGGGGUCAUAGCUGUUUCCU
rnacentral:rRNA from 1 species